rnacentral:rRNA from 1 species
UGCGCGAGUCGCAGGGUAGUACGAAACCCGAAGGCGCAACGAAAGUGAACCUUUUCUUACGAAUCGGUAGGUGGGAUCCCGGACCGAAUCCCGCUCGCGGGAAGAAUGGGCGCACCACCGGCCUGUCUCGGCCGCGACGUCGGCGAGGCGGAGCAAGAGCGUACGCGUUGGGACCCGAAAGAUGGUGAACUAUGCCUGAGCAGGAUGAAGCCAGAAGAAAUUCUGGUGGAGGUCCGCAGCGAUUCUGACGUGCAAAUCGAUCGUCAAACUUGGGUAUAGGGGCGAAAGACUAAUCGAACCAUCUAGUAGCUGGUUCCCGUCGAAGUUUCCCUCAGGAUAGCUGGCGCUCAUUGGAUAAGCAGUUUUAUCCGGUAAAGCGAAUGAUUAGAGGCCUUGGGGACGUACAGACCUCAACCUAUUCUCAAACUUUAAAUGGGUAAGACGUCCGUCUCGCUUGAUUGGAGUCGGGCUGUUCGAAUGCGAGUGCCAAGUGGGCCAUUUUUGGUAAGCAGAA